CUUAGAAUGGUCACUAGAGUAUCUGGUCAAUAUACUGGAUAAAGUAUUGAAGAUGACGCCGAAGGCCCGGUACCACCAGUGCCGGCACCAGGCCUAUAGUGCGCCACGGCAGUCCGGAACCUCCGACGGGCCAUAGCCCGGAACCUCCAGCGACGGGCCACGGGUCAGUGCUACAAGAGCGGACUCAGUGUAAAGAAGGGGGCGGCGUCCAGAACCAGAGCCGCCACCGAAGUUAGAUGCCCACCCAGACCCUCCCAUAUUGGUUUAGGUUUGCGUCCGGGAGUCCGCAUCUUUGGGGAAGAAAACCGUUACAGAAUCACCCACCAACCAAGGACCAAGCGGCGUGGUAAACAGAGGCAGCAGCAACAGCAGCAGCAGGAGAAGCGACAGGUGCAGCAGGAGAAGCGACAGGUGCAGCAGGAGCAACAGCAGCAGCAGCAAAAGCAGCAGCAGUGGGAGAGGCUGCACUAUUUGGAGAAAUGGACUUGGGAGGAGAUCCUUGAUGGGAAAGGACCCUGGGCAGAGCCAGGGGAGUAUUGCCGCCCCAAAGCCGAGCUGGAGGCAGCGAAAGCAGAGAGGCGGCAUUAUGAGGAGCUAGCACGGCAGAGCGGCUGGAAGCCCGAGAGGCAGCCCAAAAUAAUUCUUGGGGGGGGCACAGGGAGAGUGUGGCAGAGUCAGGAGUCAGACCUGAGCCAACUCCCCCUGUUUACCGUAGGGAGCCAUGGAUGGAAUUGGAGCUGUCGGAGAAGCUGAGUCUGAGAGUGUUGAGGAUGUAUUGGACAGAGUCGAGAAAAAGCUGUUGGUUUGGCAUAGUAUGCACGGCAUUCGCCCUGAGGAGCGUGUUAGCUGUCCGAUGCCACCUGUGUCAGUUCCUCGUACUUAGCCUGAAACGUGUGUUGGAGUUCCGGGGGAUUUGAUGCCGGCUAUACACACCAGGUCUCCAGUACACCUUCACAACCCGGUGUGUCCUGUUCCUUGCACUCACCCAGAGGUGCGUGUCCCCGGCCCGGUACCACCAGUGCCGGCUCCCCGCACCAGGCUGUCACUCCGUCCCAUCAACACAGGUGCUCCCGCCUGUCCGGCGCUGCCGGAGUCUCCCGCCUGUCUGGCGCUACCAGAGCUUCCGCCCCUCAUUCCAGAGGCGCCAGAGCCCCUCAUUCCAGAGGCGCCAGAGCUCCUCAGUCCAGCGCUGUCAGAGCUUUCCUCUCCAGCGUUGCAGGAGCUUCCCGUCUGCCCAGCGCCGCCUGAGCUGCCAGUCUGCCCGGCGCCGCCUGAGCCGCCCGUCUGCCCGGCGCCGCCUGAGCCGCCCGUCUGCCCGGCGCCGCCUGAGCCGCCCGUCUGCCCGGCGCCGCCUGAGCCGCCAGU
ensembl:lncRNA